ACCAAAUAUAUGAUAAUGAUGAAUAAUAGUAUCCAUUUUUUUAUCUCAUGUACCAGUAAACCCAAAACACUAAGACCAAGAUCACUGAUGGCAAACAGAGUGUAUUUCAUUACAACAGAAUAAAUCAAGAUUGAAUUAAAGGCGUUACUAAAAUAUCCAUUUCUAUUCGUACUAAAACUUUCUUAAAAAAACAACAAUAAACCCACUUUAAUGCAGAACAUAUUAAAAGAAUACAUUAAAUAAUGUCCUUAAACCCAAAUAUAUUAAAGAGGUUUAUCAAAUAUAAUUUAUGCGAUUUUGUAGCGUACAUCCAUUGAGUUUAGUUGCACCAAAAGGUGUUUGUAUAGUUAUCCUUUUGUCUGCAUUAAAAAAUAAUUAUCCAUAACUAGAAAAGAAAAAUAUCUCCCAAACAGAUCAUAUAAUAACAUUUUAUUAAGGGAAGGUAGUGUUAAAAAAAAACUAAUGAACAUUAAUUUGGUAAAAUAUCUUAAAAGUAAAGAGAGAAUCACAAAAAAUAUAAAAUAAUAAUAAAAUCGGGCAACAACAAUCCUAGUUCCAUGGGGCCCAUGAUACUUAAUCGUAGAACCUUCAUCCAUACGCGAAUGUUAACCAAACUUCGAUCUGAGCUAACUAACUACGAUUACACUGCUAAGGAUCUCCCGUAUUUUACACGCGCUACAAUCGCGAGUUGCGUCUUUUCCUCUUCCUACAAUAAUAUCUGAAGAAAAUCAUCGAGGAUAUAAGCCCAACUAGCUCUCAAUUUUGUCCAAAACGCCCCAUUUAGCCAAAAUCCAAAUGCCACCCUCCGCCGCCCAACGAAACAUCAACAAUCUCCGCCUUAAUUUAGAUUGGAAAAAUUAAGAAAUCACCAAAACGACGAGUAGCUUUAUUUGCUGAGGAUGAGAAGUGUUACCAAUACCGAAGAUAGCCGACCAUUACAGUGGCACUACACAGUCCUGGAUGACCGUAACUUCGAAAUCCAUGGCCGGGCGCUGUUCUUCGUCAUCAUCAUCUUCUCCGUUCUCCUCGUCGUCACCCUCCUCUUCCUCUACGCCCGUUGGGUAUGCCGGUACCGCCACGUCAGCUUCCCGUCGGCCUCCGUUGUCAGUUCCCAUGCGCUAGGACUAGGAGCUCCGGUGCCUUCGCCGCAGGGUCUCGACGCCGCUGUCAUUAAAGGGUUGCCGAUCAUUUUGCACCAGGCGGAGGAUCAGAGUGAGCCGGAUCGGGCCGAGUGCUGUAUAUGCCUUGGCGUGUUUGAGGACGGAGAGAAGGUGAAGGUUUUGCCUCAAUGUUGCCAUUGCUAUCAUCCCGAGUGCGUGGAUCGGUGGCUCAGUGCUCAAUCGAGUUGCCCGCUUUGCCGAGCUUCGCUCCGAGUUGACACUGUUGUUCCUAAGAUUGUCGUAGAAUGAGGAAGCUUGAUUCUCUAGUUGGAUGCCAUGUGUUUGCCGAAAGUCCUGAAAAAAAAAGUCUGCUUUUCGCUGGCCGUGGCUGCAAGCACCUGCCUAUGUUGAUUUGCUUAUACAAGAAGUUUUGGCCAUAUUCAUCAAAACGGUGUGUUUUGACAAUAUAUCCUUGUCAUCGAUAUUGGAGAAUCGCUGAUUGGGUGGUUAUCCAAAUGUGGGGCCUACCUAUCUAUGGAAUUUGGUGAUGAUUUUAUGUGUAAUAUUAUAUUAUACAAAACAUUUCAUAAAUUAGUUUUAGGGUGUGUACUUUUUUUAUCUGUAUUUCUUUUUAUUAUUUGUUUUAA